rnacentral:rRNA from 1 species
CAACUUUCAACAACGGAUCUCUUGGCUCUCGCAUCGAUGAAGAACGCAGCGAAAUGCGAUAAGUAAUGUGAAUUGCAGAAUUCAGUGAAUCAUCGAAUCUUUGAACGCAAAUUGCGCCCUUUGGUAUUCCGAAGGGCAUGCCUGUUUGAG